rnacentral:lncRNA from 1 species
CUUGUACUCUUAAAACAGUAGAGCAUAUAUCUCUAAAAAAUGAUCAAGUUCAGUUUAUGCUUCCCAAAUUGGUUUUAGCAAUAGAUCUUUAAAUGCUAUUGGAAUCAAUCUUUGCAUAAAGAUGUGACAAUCAUGGCUCUUCAUCUCGUAAAACUCACCAUCACCCUUAACACAACGAACAAUGUUAGAAGAAUAACCAUUUAGCAUUCUUAAUCCUUUAAUCCAAUCACAUACAUUCCUUUUUUGCUCCUUUGUCAAAGUAUAAGAGGCCUUUGGCUUAUAAGUUUUUUUUUUUUUUUUUUUUUUUUUUUUUUUUUUUUUUGUUUCCAUCUCUAAAUAAGUAAAGCUCCG